GCCCGAUUAACUCAGUUGGUCAGAGUGUCGUACUAAUACAGCGAGCCUUUGCGGGUCCAUGUAUCUGGUCAUGCGAAAGUCGACAGUUCAAGCCUGUCAUUGGGCA